CUGCCUCCUCCCCUCCCCCGAGAAGGGCAGCUCCGAUCCUGCAGAAACGCCUGAAACUGUUUCAGACCAAGGAGCUUUGUGCUGACUUCACCAUGCUGCAAGAUCAGUCCUUCUUCCCCAUCUAUACAAGUGAGACAACCUUCCCCUCCCCAUAGUGCAGAUACAACUGAGGUGGAUUAAGCACCUGAAAUCAUUGCUUCUUCUCAAUUAAGUUCCAGAUCCAAGCAAGGCACAGCUCAAAAUUAUCAUGUGAUAUAUCAUUGCAGAAUCACAGAAUGUGCUGAGUUGGAAGGGACCGACAAGGAUCAUCAAGUCCAACUCCUGGCCCUGCACAGGACCAUCCCCAAGAGUCACACCAUGUGCCUGAGAGUAUAUCCAAACACUACUUGAACUCUGUUAGGCUUGGUGCUGGGGAGC